UCUGCGCUGUUUGCCAAGGCCUUUUUUGUAGACACUAGGCAUAAUUGGGUUGGGUAGAUCUAUCCCCUGCUGUGAUUGGACUGAAAAACUUUUACUAAUAGGGGGACACCCUACAGAAGAAAUAGUCAGUUACUAAGACAUCUGUUUAAAAUGAGGAUGAAUAUGUUUGAGGUCUAUUUGGUAUGUUCAUGUAAAAAUAGCUCGUUACUAAGACAUCUGUUUAAAAUGAGGAUGAAUAUGUUUGAGGUCUAUUUGGUAUGUUCAUGUAAAAAUAGCUCGUUACUAAGACAUCUGUUUAAAAUGAGGAUGAAUAUGUUUGAGGUCUAUUUGGUAUGUUCAUGUAAAAAUAGCUCGUUACUAAGACAUCUGUUUAAAAUGAGGAUGAAUAUGUUUGAGUCUAUUUGAUUUGUCCUUGUAGAGUAGUUCAUCUUUAUUUUCACUAUAUUUCAAAUGAAAUCUUGUAUUUCUGAAACCAUUUCCACAGAUUAUGAAACCAUGAAUGUUUUUAUUGUUUUUCCUUGUAUAAUUGGCAAAUGUUGUUGUUUUUGUAUCUAAAUUAGGCCUUUAGUUCUGAGUUGUUUAAAAAGUGCUAUAAUAUUUUGUUAUACUGUUAAAAACAUGUGUGAUAUGAAGUUGAUUUGAAAAUAGAUUUGUUAUAAAUCUGAUCAUUUAAGUUUUGCAUUUUUGUUUUGUUGUAGAAUUGAACAUGUGAAUGUUAAAUGAAUGCAAACAUGUUUUCCCUUUUCACCCUUUUGCAAGCACAAAUAUUAUAAACCAAUGCUAUUUGUUUAAAUAGAAUUUUCAACCCUAGUUCUUAACUUAAAAUCCUUAAUCAAUAAUAUUUUCAUGAUUCCACAGCAAGGCAGAUGAUGUGCAUUUUUUAUCUGCUCGAUAGUGGUUACUACUGUCUGCUUAUAAAUGUAUAUAUGGGCUGUGCUCUGUGAAUAGGGGAUUUAAUGCAUGUACGUAAAGUGUCGUCGGAGAUUAGUCUGUUAAGUCUGCACAGGCUAAUCAGGGACGAAACUUUUUGCUUAAACAAGAUUUGUGCGAAGAAGAGACUUUCUUGAAUCGAAAAAUAUCAUAAAAGCGGAAAGUGUUUUCCCUAAUAAGCCUGUGCAGACCCCUUUUCACAGAGCACGGGGCAUAUAUAGGAGUCUUUUCACGUUAAUUAUUACUAAAUUCACACUUAUUAAUCAUUUCAUUUACUCCUUAAUAAACUAAAUUUACAAAAACGUAUAACAUCAAAAUAAGUUUCAAUGCAGUCUGUGACACAUUUCUACUUUAAUUAUAUUUUGUAGAAUCUACGGCAGCAGACGUGCUUUUGUCUUGUUUAUACACUUAUUUCUGUAUGUGAGUCAUUUGCAAACGAUUUGAAUACUGAACACUUUCAACUUUAUUGAUUUGUGUGAUAUUAAUUUGUGAAUAAAGUAAAUAUUAAAACUGUAAACAUCAAUUAUGUAAACAAAAAAUUUAAAAAAAAAAUAAAAUUCCCCAUUUAAUGGUCCACAAUAUAUUUAAAGUUUUAACUAGCAAGAUGCUGAUAUUUUUAAUACAGAUAGUAGCAUAUAUUUUUUGGCUUGUUGCUUAUAUUUUUAUUAUAUUUAUGUUUAUUAAGUAUGUGUUAGAAACUUAAUUAAAAUUAAAAAGAUUUUUUUUUUGCUUUUAUGUUUUUGUUACAAAUGGCGGCUAAACAUGUGUAUAAAAUCCAGUACAGAUGGCACUUGUUAGUCACCUUUGUCUAUCAAGGUAGAUAAUUAUGUAUCAAUUGUUAAAAUAAUAAUUGAAAUUGUGUCCCUUGCCACACGUAGUGCAUUGUUCAUUGUUUUGUCAAGUUUUCUGAACUAUUUAGGAAUACAUUUUUUUAUGUUGUCAACCAUUAAAUAAUGAAUGAAAUUAUAUAAGAAGAAGGAACAUACAAUUGUCUUAAAUAUGGUUCGAGUAUUGAAGUUUUAGUAACAUUCAAAUAAAUUUGACUCUUUUUGUUUCGAACUAAAAUUUAGUAAUGAUUUUUUACAUGUUUUUUGUUUUUGCAAAAUGUUGUUCUUUUGUCUCAACUGAAACAUUGUUGAAAUGUUGAUUUUUAUUACUGAUUCCUUCGACGACACAUUUUAUUGCUCCAUUAUUUAAGUCAUAAAUAUUCCAUUUGUCUAAAAAGCAGCUAUUGUAUUUAAGAGUAAAUACAGUAUGUGUGUAAUUAAUACUAUUUUUGUUAAUGGUAAAAUUGAUGAAAGUGAGUUUCAGUAAAUGUAAAUUCAUAGAAUUUGUUAUGUACAUUGAUGUGUCAUGUUUUGUUGAAAUAGAAAGAUAUUAAGGUUUUAUUUAGAAUAAGGGGUGAUUUCCAUUUUGGAAAUUUGAAUACCGGUAAGAGUGCUUGUUUUGUGACGCUGAUUCAAAUGAAUGUAUGUCUGGCUUUUGUUUUGAUAAGUUACAUGUUAAGUUCUAAGAGAAGAAUUACAUGAUAGUUAAGAUUUGUUGUUUAAACUUGAUUCUGGUUAAUAGACCUUUGUAAAUUGCUAUAACAUGAUGUGUGUAGUAUGUUGGAACAAAAUUUACUGAAGUGUGAAUAUUAAAAUUGUGAACGCAAAGAAAAUAUAUGUUGCGAACCAUU